UACCCUAUAGUUGAUAAUACAACGCAAGCCUGCAAAGCAAGAGGAGGGAUUUCUCCCUAGGGUUU
rnacentral:tRNA from 1 species